rfam:Myotis lucifugus cont2.5951, whole genome shotgun sequence.
GGUGGUUCUUUGGUGAUGCACCUCAAAAUUGAGCUCCCUCCUCUCUGGUUCCGAGUGCUUCACCUGAGAACUGCA